rnacentral:rRNA from 1 species
GACGAACGCUGGCGGCGUGCUUAACACAUGCAAGUCGAACGGAAAGGCCCUGCUUUUGUGGGGUGCUCGAGUGGCGAACGGGUGAGUAACACGUGAGUAACCUGCCCUUGACCUUGGGAUAACUUCAGGAAACUGGGGCUAAUACCGGAUAGGAGCUCCUGCUGCAUGGUGGGGGUUGGAAAGUUUCGGCGGUUGGGGAUGGACUCGCGGCUUAUCAGCUUGUUGGUGGGGUAGUGGCUUACCAAGGCUUUGACGGGUAGCCGGCCUGGGAGGGUGACCGGCCACAUUGGGACUGAGAUACGGCCCAGACUCCUACGGGAGGCAGCAGUGGGGAAUAUUGCACAAUGGGCGGAAGCCUGAUGCAGCAACGCCGCGUGCGGGAUGACGGCCUUCGGGUUGUAAACCGCUUUCGCCUGUGACGAAGCGUGAGUGACGGUAAUGGGUAAAGAAACACCGGCUAACUACGU